rnacentral:rRNA from 1 species
CUAAGUAUAAGCAAUUAUACAGCGAAACUGCGAAUGGCUCAUUAAAUCAGUUAUCGUUUAUUUGAUAGUACCUUACUACUUGGAUAACCGUGGUAAUUCUAGAGCUAAUACAUGCUAAAAACCCCGACUCACGAAGGGGUGUAUUUAUUAGAUUAAAAACCAAUGCCCUUCGGGGCUCUUUGGUGAUUCAUAAUAACUUUUCGAAUCGCAUGGCCUUGCGCCGGCGAUGGUUCAUUCAAAUUUCUGCCCUAUCAACUUUCGAUGGCAGGGUCUUGGCCUGCCAUGGUUACAACGGGUAACGGAGGGUUAGGGCUCGACCCCGGAGAAGGAGCCUGAGAAACGGCUACUACAUCCAAGGAAGGCAGCAGGCGCGCAAAUUACCCAAUCCCGAUUCGGGGAGGUAGUGACAAUAAAUACUGAUACAGGGCUCUUUUGGGUCUUGUAAUUGGAAUGAGUACAAUUUAAAUCCCUUAACGAGGAACAAUUGGAGGGCAAGUCUGGUGCCAGCAGCCGCGGUAAUUCCAGCUCCAAUAGCGUAUAUUAAAGUUGUUGCAGUUAAAAAGCUCGUAGUUGAACCUUGGGCCUGGCUGGCCGGUCCGCCUCACCGCGUGCACUGGUUCGGCCGGGCCUUUCCCUCUGGGGAACCUCAUGGUCUUCACUGAUCGUGACGGGGAACCAGGACUUUUACUGUGAAAAAAUUAGAGUGUUCAAAGCAGGCCUAUGCUCGAAUACAUUAGCAUGGAAUAAUAAAAUAGGACGUGUGGUUCUAUUUUGUUGGUUUCUAGGACCGCCGUAAUGAUUAAUAGGGACAGUCGGGGGCAUCAGUAUUCAAUUGUCAGAGGUGAAAUUCUUGGAUUUAUUGAAGACUAACUACUGCGAAAGCAUUUGCCAAGGAUGUUUUCAUUAAUCAGGAACGAAAGUUAGGGGAUCGAAGACGAUCAGAUACCGUCGUAGUCUUAACCAUAAACUAUGCCGACUAGGGAUCGGACGGUGUUACUUAUUGACCCGUUCGGCACCUUACGAGAAAUCAAAGUCUUUGGGUCU